AGGACGAACGCUGGCGGCGUGCUUAACACAUGCAAGUCGAGCGGAAAGGCCCUUCGGGGUACUCGAGCGGCGAACGGGUGAGUAACACGUGAGUAAUCUGCCCCUAGCUCUGGGAUAGCUCCGGGAAACCGGGAUUAAUACCAGAUACGACCACUUUAGACAUCUGCUGUGGUGGAAAGAAUUUCGGCUAGGGAUGAGCUCGCGGCCUAUCAGCUUGUUGGUGAGGUAACGGCUCACCAAGGCGACGACGGGUAGCCGGCCUGAGAGGGCGACCGGCCACACUGGGACUGAGACACGGCCCAGACUCCUACGGGAGGCAGCAGUGGGGAAUAUUGCGCAAUGGGCGAAAGCCUGACGCAGCGACGCCGCGUGGGGGAUGAAGGCCUUCGGGUUGUAACCCUUUCAGCAGGGACGAAGCGAAGUGACGGUACCUGCAGAAGAAGCGCCGGCUAACUACGUGCCAGCAGCCGC
rnacentral:rRNA from 1 species